GGAGAGGUGGCCGAGUGGUUGAAGGCGCGCCCCUGCUAAGGGUGUAUGCGUGAAAGCGUAUCGAGGGUUCGAAUCCCUUCCUCUCCGCCA
rnacentral:tRNA from 1 species